UACGAAGGGGGCUAGCGUUGCUCGGAAUCACUGGGCGUAAAGCGCACGUAGGCGGACUCUUAAGUCAGGGGUGAAAUCCUGGAGCUCAACUCCAGAACUGCCUUUGAUACUGGGAGUCUUGAGUUCGGGAGAGGUGAGUGGAACUGCGAGUGUAGAGGUGAAAUUCGUAGAUAUUCGCAAGAACACCAGUGGCGAAGGCGGCUCACUGGCCCGAUACUGACGCUGAGGUGCGAAAGCGUGGGGAGCAAACA
rnacentral:rRNA from 1 species